UACGGGGGGGCAAGCGUUGUUCGGAAUUACUGGGCGUAAAGGGUUCGUAGGUGGCCAACUAAGUCAGACGUGAAAUCCCUCAGCUUAACUGGGGAACUGCGUCUGAGACUGGAUGGCUUGAGUGCAGGAGAGGAACGCGGAAUUCCAGGUGUAGCGGUGAAAUGCGUAGAUAUCUGGAGGAACACCGGUGGCGAAGGCGGCGUUCUGGACUGCUACUGACACUGAGGAACGAAAGCCAGGGAGCAAACGGG
rnacentral:rRNA from 1 species